rnacentral:rRNA from 1 species
AGUGAACGCUGGCGGUAGGCCUAACACAUGCAAGUCGAACGGCAGCACAGUAAGAGCUUGCUCUUACGGGUGGCGAGUGGCGGACGGGUGAGGAAUACAUCGGAAUCUACUUGUUCGUGGGGGAUAACGUAGGGAAACUUACGCUAAUACCGCAUACGACCUACGGGUGAAAGCAGGGGAUCUUCGGACCUUGCGCGAUUGAAUGAGCCGAUGUCGGAUUAGCUAGUUGGCGGGGUAAAGGCCCACCAAGGCGACGAUCCGUAGCUGGUCUGAGAGGAUGAUCAGCCACACUGGAACUGAGACACGGUCCAGACUCCUACGGGAGGCAGCAGUGGGGAAUAUUGGACAAUGGGCGCAAGCCUGAUCCAGCCAUACCGCGUGGGUGAAGAAGGCCUUCGGGUUGUAAAGCCCUUUUGUUGGGAAAGAAAAGCAGCAGGUUAAUACCCCGCUGUUCUGACGGUACCCAAAGAAUAAGCACCGGCUAACUUCGUG